rnacentral:lncRNA from 1 species
AAAUUAUAUUAUUCUAAAAAUAAACAAAAAAGAUGAUGCAUUAUCGAAUAGAGCCGCAUAUACUGCAACUAGAAGUCGAAGCUAAUCAUCCGCUGCAGGUCCUGUGAUGGCGGAGGAAAUUGACAAUAAAACUAUAGUAUAAAUUAAUCAAAUUGUGCAAAUCCCUUGUCCAAUCGUGCCUCGAUACUAUCGGCUCAUGCAUUGAUCCAUGAUAUGAGAUAUACCUCAAAUAAAUCUAUCCGAAUAAAUAACGCAUGC